AUUGAACGCUGGCGGCAGGCCUAACACAUGCAAGUCGAGCGAGCGGCGGACGGGUGAGUAAUGUAUGGGGACUGCCCGAUAGAGGGGGAUAACUACUGGAAACGGUGGCUAAUACCGCAUACUAUCGGAUAACCCAUAUGGGAUUAGCGAGGAGGUUGGGUAAAGGCUCACCUAGGCGACGAUCUCUAGCUGGUCGGCGAGGAUGAUCAGCCACGCUGGUACGGAGACACGGCCCUGACUCCUACGGAGGCAGCAGUGUGGAAUAUUGCACAAUGGGCGCAAGCCUGAUGAAUCCAUGCCGCGUGUAUGAAGAAGGCCUUCGGGUUGUAAAGUACUUUCAGCGGGGCGGCGUUACCCGCAGAAGAAGCACCGGCUAACUCCGUGCCAGCAGCCGCGGUAAUUC
rnacentral:rRNA from 1 species